rnacentral:ncRNA from 1 species
AUCUUAAAUUUUUUAAAAACAUACUUUUGAUUUUAUGGUGAAAUUGAAGAUUUUAUUUAUAUGUAUUUAAGAUUAUAAAAUUUAAUGAACGAACCAGAUUAGUACCUGGUUAGAUAAAAAUUAAAAGGGCAGGAGUAAAGUUGAAUUUAAACUGUAAUAAUAUUGGCAGGCUUUUAAAUUAUCUUUGGAGGCUGAGUAGUAAUUGAGAGCCCUCAUUUACAACUCUUGUUUUAGGCUCAUGUAUGAUCGUUUAUUUUAUUCUUAAGGAUUGUAAUUUUAGUUUUUUAUCUGUUAAAAUAGAUAUAUACUUGGUUAAUACAGGAGGUUAAUUUGGCCUACAAUGUUAUAUUUUUUGGAUAGUAUUGGUAGUCAAUGUUUGAAAUUGUAAAAGACAGUAAAGCCUUUUUAAUAUAGGAUUGAAGUUUAUUUAAAAGCGGUACAAAUCAUCCAUCAAUUGCCUAUAGGGGAG